rnacentral:rRNA from 1 species
UAGGGAAUCUUCGGCAAUGGACGGAAGUCUGACCGAGCAACGCCGCGUGAGUGAAGAAGGUUUUCGGAUCGUAAAGCUCUGUUGUUAGGGAAGAACGUUGGUAGGAGUGGAAAAUCUACCAAGUGACGGUAACUAACCAGAAAGGGACGGCUAACUACGUGCCAGCUGCCGCGGUAAUACGUAGGUCCCGAGCGUUGUCCGGAUUUAUUGGGCGUAAAGCGAGCGCAGGCGGUUCUUUAAGUCUGAAGUUAAAGGCAGUGGCUUAACCAUUGUACGCUUUGGAAACUGGAGGACUUGAGUGCAGAAGGGGAGAGUGGAAUUCCAUGUGUAGCGGUGAAAUGCGUAGAUAUAUGGAGGAACACCGGUGGCGAAAGCGGCUCUCUGGUCUGUAACUGACGCUGAGGCUCGAAAGCGUGGGGAGCAAACAGG